CACUGCAGGACUCACAUCUGUCAGUCAACACAGCAGAAAGCACAACCACCAUGACUCUCAUCUCCAUCCUCAUCUGGACGCUGCUCUGCUGCUGUUUUACAGGAUGCAGCAGUCAGGUGACUGUGACUCAACCUCCAGUAGUGACAUUUACUCCAGGAUCCACUGUCACUCUGACCUGUAAGACCAGCCAGGAUGUUUUUAGAUGGUCUGAUGGUGAUGAGGGUAUAGCCUGGUAUCAACACAAAUCUGGACAGACUCCGAAGCUCCUUGUAAAAUAUGCGAAAAAGCUUGAGUCAGGAACUCCAUCUCGGUUUAGUGGCAGUGGAAGCAGCUCUGACUUCACGUUGACCAUCAGUGGAGUUCAGACUGAAGAUGCAGCAGUUUACUACUGUCAGAGUUACCACAGCCGUGGAGUGUUCACACAGUGAUUUAUGGUCGUACAAAAACCUCCUCAGUCAGACUGCAGAGACUCUGAACUGUUACAGCAGGAACCAAGUGCAGCUGCUGAAGAGGAAGAAACUCUGACACAGACCACUGAACACAGAGCUGACAGGAACCUCACCAAGCACCAAACACACAUUUACACUGAAAUUAAUUCAGCUGUAAUUCAAGUUUAUAUAAAACAAGAUUUGUUAUGUAUUAUGUUCCCUCUAACUUGAAGAGACAAAAGUGGAUGAUUACAUAUUUGAAUAAUAGAUUUUUCUCUCUAAAAAUGUGCUUCACAUGAUUGCUUCAGUUUCUAAUCCUGAUCAACAGAUUUUCCCAUGAAAUACACAUGAUGUUAGUUUCAUUUUAGAAAGGAGAAACAUUUCCUCCAUCAGUAACAAGUAUCAGGUUCUAAAGUUUCAUCCAGUCCCUGAAUCUCUUCCAGAGCUGCUCAGAGGAUGGAGGCAGCAGAGAGACUGAAGGUCUGGAAUGACAUUGUUGUC